UUUGAAAUGCUUUUUGGAUGUUCAAGUUAGUCCUCUGGGCAAGUUGUUAAACUGAUUAAUUUAUUAGUUAUUUUUCGGUCCUUUAAGCGCUUCUAGAAAGGGCUUUUUUCAUUUAAGCUGUUUUUUCUCUGCAGGUUACAACGUGAAGUGGCCUGAUUGAAGAAACCUACAUCCACUCUAUGAGGCAAUUGGAUUUAGGAGCGUUUUGGCCUGAAGAAUGGUUUUGGCCAUUGGUUCUUCAAAGGCUCUGUUCUC
rnacentral:lncRNA from 1 species